AAUAAAAUAAAGAAAAGAAAAUAUCAUCUUUUCUUCAUCUUCUCUCCACCGAAAAAUGGCAGCAAAGAAAGGGUUUAGAAGCUGGAAACUUUCAGCAAAGAAACUCCCUUUAUAAUGAUGAAAAUUGAGAUUUGGACCUAGAACGGAAAGAAAUCGAUUUAUGGACGAGUAUGUCUUUUCACCUUUGUGGUAUCGAGAGUUUCCAGGUUAGCUCGGGUUGGAGGCAAUCAGAGAUAUUAUCACACUGUCGAGUUAACGCUAUCGGCGUAAGUAAACUCAAGUGAUUCUAGUCUAUGGCGUGUAUAGGGUUUUAAUGUGAGUAUGUAAUAUUAUGAUUUAGCCAAAGGCAUUGGCUUGUUAUUAAGGUAGUAUUAGUCAUGUAAAUUGGCCUAUGUCGGCUAAUAUCGUUAUGGGCCCAUAUGAUUAUUCUUAUGCAUGUAUGUUAUUAUCUCUUGUGAUGUGGCUUACAACAUGUAUGCCUAGAGAUUGAAUUGAGAUUCAUUGAUGAGCUAAUAACUAAUGCGGGAUUAAGUGAUUGGUAAAUAAAAAAAAAAAAGAAA